AUUGAACGCUGGCGGCAUGCCUUACACAUGCAAGUCGAUCGGUAACAGGUCUUCGGAUGCUGACGAGUGGCGAACGGGUGAGUAAUACAUCGGAACGUGCCCGAUCGUGGGGGAUAACUACCCGAAAGAGUAGCUAACACCGCAUACGAUCUACGGAUGAAAGCGGGGGAUCUUCGGACCUCGUGCGGACGGAGCGGCCGAUGGCAGGUUAGGUAGUUGGUGGGAUAAAAGCUUACCAAGCCGACGAUCUGUAGCUGGUCUGAGAGGACGACCGGCCACAAUGGGACUGAGACACGGCCCAGACGCCUACGGGAGGCAGAAGUGGGCAAUUUUGGAAAAUGGGCGAAAGCCUGAUCCAGCAAUGCCGCGUGCAGGAUGAAGGCCUUAGGGUUGUAAACUGCUUUUGUACGGAACGAAAAGACUCCUUCUAAUACAGGGGGUCCAUGACGGUACCGUAAGAAUAAGCACCGGCUAACUACGUGCCAGCAGCCGCCGUAAAAC
rnacentral:rRNA from 1 species